GCGGCUGCUGGGCUAAUACCGAAUGAAAUUGCAGCCUCUCGGGGUUUGCAAUCAAAGGUGGCCUCUGCAUGCAAGCUACCGCUCGAGGAGGGGUUCACCUUCCAUUAGCUAGUUGGUGAGGUAACGGCCCACCAAGGCGACGAUGGAUAGCCGGCCUGAGAGGGUGAUCGGCCACACUGGAACUGAGACACGGUCCAGACUCCUACGGGAGGCAGCAGUGGGGAAUUUUGCGCAAUGGACGAAAGUCUGACGCAGCAACGCCGCGUGGGUGAUGAAGGCCUUUGGGUCGUAAAACCCUGUCGAGAGGGAAGAAAGUCGUCGCGGCUAACACCUGCGACAACUGACUGUACCUCUGGAGGAAGCCCCGGCUAACUCCGUGCCAGCAGCCGCGGUAAU
rnacentral:rRNA from 1 species